UACAGAGGGGGCAAGCGUUGUUCGGAAUUACUGGGCGUAAAGGGCGCGUAGGUGGCCUUCUAAGUUGAACGUGAAAUCCCUGGGCUCAACCCAGGAACUGCGUCCAAGACUGGGAGGCUUGAAUCCGGGAGAGGGAUGCGGAAUUCCAGGUGUAGCAGUGAAAUGCGUGGAUAUCGAUAGGAACACUCGUGGCGAAGGCGAGCUACUGGACAACAUCUGACGCUGAGGCUCGAAGGCCAGGGGAGCAAAAGGG
rnacentral:rRNA from 1 species